rnacentral:rRNA from 1 species
AGAGUUUGAUCCUGGCUCAGGAUGAACGCUGGCGGCGUGCUUAACACAUGCAAGUCGAACGAACCUUCGGGUCAGUGGCGGACGGGUGAGUAACGCGUGAGAAUCUGCCCUCAGGAGGGGGAUAACGGCUGGAAACGGCCGCUAAUACCCCAUAUGCCGAGAGGUGAAAUGAGUUUCGCCUGAGGAUGAGCUCGCGUCUGAUUAGCUAGUUGGUGGGGUAAGAGCCUACCAAGGCAUCGAUCAGUAGCUGGUCUGAGAGGAUGAUCAGCCACACUGGGACUGAGACACGGCCCAGACUCCUACAGGAGGCAGCAGUGGGGAAUUUUCCGCAAUGGGCGAAAGCCUGACGGAGCAACGCCGCGUGAGGGACGAAGGCCUCUGGGCUGUAAACCUCUUUUCUCAAGGAAGAAGACCUGACGGUACUUGAGGAAUAAGCCACGGCUAAUUCCGUGCCAGCAGCCGCGGUAAUACGGGAGUGGCAAGCGUUAUCCGGAAUUAUUGGGCGUAAAGCGUCCGCAGGCGGCCUUUUAAGUCUGUUGUCAAAGCGUGGAGCUUAACUCCAUUUCGGCAAUGGAAACUGGGAGGCUUGAGUGUGGUAGGGGCAGAGGGAAUUCCCGGUGUAGCGGUGAAAUGCGUAGAUAUCGGGAAGAACACCAGUGGCGAAGGCGCUCUGCUGGGCCAUAACUGACGCUCAUGGACGAAAGCCAGGGGAGCGAAAGGGAUUAGAUACCCCUGUAGUCCUGGCCGUAAACGAUGAACACUAGGUGUCGGGGGAAUCGACCCCCUCGGUGUCGUAGCCAACGCGUUAAGUGUUCCGCCUGGGGAGUACGCACGCAAGUGUGAAACUCAAAGGAAUUGACGGGGGCCCGCACAAGCGGUGGAGUAUGUGGUUUAAUUCGAUGCAACGCGAAGAACCUUACCAGGGUUUGACAUCCUGCGAAUCCCCUGGAAACGGGGGAGUGCCUUCGGGAGCGCAGAGACAGGUGGUGCAUGGCUGUCGUCAGCUCGUGUCGUGAGAUGUUGGGUUAAGUCCCGCAACGAGCGCAACCCACGUCUUUAGUUGCCAGCAUUCAGUUGGGCACUCUAGAGAGACCGCCGGUGAUAAACCGGAGGAAGGUGUGGAUGACGUCAAGUCAUCAUGCCCCUUACAUCCUGGGCUACACACGUACUACAAUGCUACGGACAAAGGGCAGCAAACUCGCGAGAGCUAGCAAAUCCCAUAAACCGUGGCUCAGUUCAGAUCGUAGGCUGCAACUCGCCUACGUGAAGGAGGAAUCGCUAGUAAUCGCAGGUCAGCAUACUGCGGUGAAUACGUUCCCGGGCCUUGUACACACCGCCCGUCACACCAUGGAAGUUGGCCACGCCCGAAGCCGUUACUCCAACCCUUGUGGAGGAGGACGUCGAAGGGGGGGCUGAUGACUGGGGUGAAGUCGUAACAAGGUAACC